CGGGUCAGGUGACGCCACGUGCGUCUGCCAGAGGACGGUGGGAGUGUGCGCGGCUGCACCCGUGGGUGGCCGUUGGGGUGAGGCUGCUUCUUGGGGUCGUGGCCAUCCAGUGCCAUCAAGGGUCCCAGGCGGUGCCUGCCAUCUACUGAGGCCAGGUGGACGGCCCUCGACUGCUCUGCAGCAGAUGAUCUGUAAGAUGGCCUGGUCAAGGCUUCUAGCAGAUUGGGAUCUCUCUCUUCAGUCCAAGUGCAAAUGCUGAACACACCAGUUUCCUGGAGCUGCCGUCGGGACACCUUGUCGCUUCCAUGUAACUGAUGGGCUACCUUGUCACGUGCCAUUGCUGGGGAGGUAUGUCAGAUCCUUCACAGUUCCUGACAGCACAGCCUCCCAACCCCCAACAGACUCUGCCCUGUGUUCCUGCUCCAGCUUCAGCAGCAGAAAUCCCAGGAUGUGAGAGCUAGAAGACACCUGAGAGAUGAUCCCUUCCGUGGAUGACAGGUUCUUCUGGGGACCCUGCAGUGGUUUGGGUGCCGUGUUGUCUGCUUCCAGAACGAGGAUCUUCACUGUACAUCAGGACCCAGCCCCUCUGACAUCUCUUGAAUGAGAAACGAGGGGUUUAAUAAAACGGUGUAAAAUUUGUAGUUCA